rnacentral:rRNA from 1 species
UCAAAGGAAUUGACGGGGCCCGCACAAGCGGAGGAACAUGUGGUUUAAUUCGAUGAUACGCGAGGAACCUUACCUGGGCUUAAAUGGGGAGUGACAGCUGUCGAAAGAUGGUUUCUUCGGACACUCUUCAAGGUGCUGCAUGGUUGUCGUCAGCUCGUGCCGUGAGGUGUCGGGUUAAGUCCCAUAACGAGCGCAACCCUUACCGUUAGUUACCAUCAGGUUAAGCUGGGGACUCUAGCGGGACUGCCACCGUAAGGUGAGAGGAAGUGGGGAUGACGUCAAAUCAGCACGGCCCUUAUGUCCAGGGCUACACACGUGUUACAAUGGCCAGUACAAAGGGCAGCUACCGGGUGACCGGAUGCUAAUCUCUAAAGCUGGUCUCAGUUCGGAUCGAAGUCUGCAACCCGACUUCGUGAAGCUGGAUUCGCUAGUAAUCGCGCAUCAGCCAUGGCGCGGUGAAUACGUUCCCGGGGCUU